rnacentral:rRNA from 1 species
GACGAACCGUGCGAACGUUAUUCGGAAUCACUGGGCUUAAAGGGUGCGUAGGCGGCCUAUUAAGUCAGGGGUGAAAGACGGUAGCUUAACUAUCGCAGUGCCUUUGAUACUGAUGGGCUUGAAUGAACUAGAGGUAGGCGGAAUGUGACAAGUAGCGGUGAAAUGCAUAGAUAUGUCACAGAACACCAAUUGCGAAGGCAGCUUACUAUGGUUUUAUUGACGCUGAGGCACGAAAGCGUGGGGAUCAAACAGG